UACGGAGGAUGCGAGCGUUAUCCGGAUUUAUUGGGUUUAAAGGGUGCGUAGGCUGGUAGUUAAGUCAGUGGUGAAAUUUCCCGGCUCAACCGGGAGGCUGCCGUUGAUACUGCAGUUCUUGAGUAUAGUUGAUGUUGGCGGAAUGUGUCAUGUAGCGGUGAAAUGCGUAGAUAUUAGGAGGAACACCAGUGGCGAAGGCAACUCUCUGGCCUGUAACUGACGCUGAGGUGCGAAAGCUAGGGGAGCGAAC
rnacentral:rRNA from 1 species